AUGUCCGCCAUCAUUCCAUUCUCUGUCACUGUGAUACCCAUUAUCUUAUCCUCUCCAUGUCCGCCAUCACUCCAUUCUCUGUCACUGUGAUACCCAUUAUCUUAUCCUCUCCAUGUCUGCCAUCAUUCCAUUCUCUGUCACUGUGAUACCCAUUAUCUUAUCCUCUCCAUGUCCGCCAUCACUCCAUUCUCUGUCACUGUGAUACCCAUUAUCUUAUCCUAUCCAUGUCCGCCAUCAUUCCAUUCUCUGUCACUGUGAUACCCAUUAUCUUAUCCUCUCCAUGUCCGCCAUCACUCCAUUCUCUGUCACUGUGAUACCCAUUAUCUUAUCCUAUCCAUGUCCGCCAUCACUCCAUUCUCUGUCACUGUGAUACCCAUUAUCUUAUCCUAUCCAUGUCCGCCAUCACUCCAUUCUGUCACUGUGAUACCCAUUAUCUUAUCCUAUCCAUGUCCGCCAUCAUUCCAUUCUCUGUCACUGUGAUACCCAUUAUCUUAGCCUAUCCAUGUCCACCAUCACUCCAUUCUCUGUCACUGUGAUACCCAUUAUCUUAUCCUAUCCAUGUCCGCCAUCAUUCCA